rnacentral:lncRNA from 1 species
CAUCAAAUCCUUCAACAACCUGACCAAAAACAACGUGCUUUCCAUCAAGCCAUUCAGUCUUAGCAGUGCAGAUGAAGAAUUGUGAACCGUUGGUUCCAGGUCCAGCAUUAGCCAUGGAUAGAACUCCAGGUCCGGUGUGCUUCCUCUUAAAGUUUUCAUCAGCAAACUUAGCGCCGUAAAUCGAUUCUCCUCCAGUACCGUUUCCGGCGGUGAAAUCACCUCCUUGACA